GGAAUUUUCCGCAAUGGGCGAAAGCCUGACGGAGCAACGCCGCGUGAGGGAUGAAGGCCUCUGGGCUGUAAACCUCUUUUCUCAAGGAAGAAGAUCUGACGGUACUUGAGGAAUAAGCCACGGCUAAUUCCGUGCCAGCAGCCGCGGUAAUACGGGAGUGGCAAGCGUUAUCCGGAAUUAUUGGGCGUAAAGCGUCCGCAGGCGGCCUUACAAGUCUGUCGUUAAAGCGUGGAGCUUAACUCCAUUUCAGCGAUGGAAACUGUAGGCUAGAGUGUGGUAGGGGCAGAGGGAAUUCCCGGUGUAGCGGUGAAAUGCGUAGAUAUCGGGAAGAACACCAGUGGCGAAGGCGCUCUGCUGGGCCAUAACUGACGCUCAUGGACGAAAGCCAGGGGAGCGAAAGGGAUUAGAUACCCCUGUAGUCCUGGCCGUAAACGAUGAACACUAGGUGUCGGGGGAAUCGACCCCCUCGGUGUCGUAGCCAACGCGUUAAGUGUUCCGCCUGGGGAGUACGCACGCAAGUGUGAAACUCAAAUGAAUUGACGGA
rnacentral:rRNA from 1 species